CACGGGGUGCUGACGGUAUGGUCUUAAUUUAUCAAAACCAAGCCGCGGCUGAGAGGGCAUAUUGCUCAACCCAUUAAACCUGAUACGGGUAAUGCCGGCGUAGGGAAGAUGUUUU
rnacentral:ncRNA from 1 species